rnacentral:lncRNA from 1 species
CCAAAGUCCACAAUAGCUAUCAAUUACCUAACAAACUAAUCUGAUAAUACAAUAAUCACUUGAUUGGGGCUUCCAAAAAGGUUAGAAACGUUUUGUGACAGUUCGCCUUUCCGACAACAUUUGGGAGAAAAACUUCAAACUACAUAAUAGAAGCACUUUUCAAAGAAGUACAUGCCUAGAAGCACUUAAGUAAACACUAAUUAGAGUUUUAAUGAAAGCAUUUCAAGCAAAAAUGCUUAUAAGCAGAAGCUUCAGUCACGGUUGUACCCUUUACACUCAAAUUUGAACCCCUUUUCCGUAUCAGAUUAGAAUAUCGCUCGAAUAAAAUUUCAACGUAUUCAUAUUUUCUUCAGUUUAAAGUGGUCAACUUUAAAAAUUAAAUUUGAAUUGAAGAAAUGGUCACUUCACCUGUAGGCGGAGGAGGGAGAGGAGGAGGCGGCCCUGGUGCAGGCUCAGGUGCUGACAUGGAGUUCUUGGCGUAGAAGGGGUAGACUUCGUACCUAACAUGACAACUCGGAAACAAAACUCGUCCUCCGAGUUUCCCAUUACAGCAAUUCGGAAGUUGGGCUAUGGCCAACCGAAGACAGCGGUUACAAUCCGCUUCCGACAGGUCCUGCGUGCACUGCCCGAGGCUGUACACCGAAAUCAACCCGCUUACAUUUGCUUGAUUCGUCGCGAACUUGUCGGCGUCGUUGGCAGCCUCGGUAGCCACCAUGUUCAUACUGGCCGCCAGGACCUGGUUGAACCGAGUCGGGUCGGUGGCGUUUUUAUUGUUCGACAUGUACAGGCGGGGCGACUCGGUGGCGGUGGAGAAGAAUGACUCGUUGGAGUAGCGUAGCAUGCAGUCGUCGUAACCGAUCACCACCUGUUUUUCUACGGGGCAGCGUUGUGGGGCCUCGGAAAUUGCGGUGGCGACACAGGUUUCGCAAGCUUGGGUUCCCGCGACGUCGCCGCGGCAGAGGAAAAGGCCGUAGACGGCGUUGUUUGUGGUUUGGACUGUGGCGUUGUAGAAACCGGUGGAACGGUUAGCGUUGGAGGAGAGGGUGGAAAGGAGGCGGUUGAGGUUGGACUGGAAGGUGGAGUUUGGGGUGAAGGUAGUGGUGUUUGGGCAGUAGUGAACCAGGUAAUCAGCUUCCGUACUGGUCGGAAAGCUGAGCAGAAUAAAAACGGAGAAAAUCAAAAGAAGGGUAGUCAUGUUUUUCAUUUUUUGAUGACUGAUCAUAAAAUCAUAGAUUUUUGUAUUGAGUAUCAUCAAAAGCAAUGCAGGGGUCGUAGCUUGACUUUCAGUCUUUGAGGGAGCGUUUGUUACGACGGAUUAUCUCGGACUGGACUAGCUUCAAGGACUAAGCUGGACUAAAAGCGUUUGGUGCAGUGUUGGACUAAGAAGCUAGAUAAUAACAAAUUCUAAUAUUAUAUUAUUUAAUAUAUAAAUUAUUAAUAUUUUAUUAUGAUCUAGGUGACCGGAGAUGACGAGGAGUCUAUCGGGAGUUGAGUAUGACGAGGACGAGAGUUGGUAGUCUUAGCUAGUCCCAUGGUUAUUGGGGGGUUUCGCUAAGACCUCUUAGUGAAGGGUUUUGUCCAUGCUAGUCCCCUUUAGUCUCAUUAAUGUUAGUCCCAGCAUGGAACAAACACAGUAUUGGACUAACAGCUAGUCCAGUCCAGUCCAGUCCCACUUAGUGAGGGCAAACAAACGCCCCCUGAGUGUCCACCAUAAGGGGUCCUCUCAUACAACCGGAUUUGGAUUAUGGAGGGAUUAAAUUUAGGAAGUUUUAACAAGACAGUCACGGUACUGUUCAUUUUUAAAGAAAAAUCACAUUUUUACCUUUAACUGUCACUAUUCAUUAUACCUUUAAAAAUGACUUUUCAUUAAAAGGGAAGUUUUUUUAAACUUUUCGUUAGUUUUCCUUUAAAUUUAAGGAAAACUAAAGAAUUUUUUUUAAAAAAAACUUUGAGUUUUAACGAUAAAGAUAAAAUAAAUGAUAUAAUAAAUAGUAUCAUGAUUAAUUUUUUUAGUAUAAAAAUAUAAUUUUUCAUUAAAAUGAAUAAUAUUAUGAUUGACUUUUUGUGUUGCAGCUCCCAGAAACACCAAUUGCUAUCUCCAGAGGACAGGUCCUGCGUGCACGGUGCACUGCCCAAAUCCGUACAGCGAAGUGAAACCUGCGUUGGAAAAGAGUAGUAUUUAGUUUUAUUCUGUUGUUUGAAUUUUAGGUUAAGCCCGUUGGAAUUAGAGUAUUGAUUUCUUGCCUGUUAGAAUUAGGUUUAGUUGACUAUAUAUAGUGCUUAUGUUAUGCAAUUGGUUGCAAUAUGUGAAGAAAGUUGAGAUUCCAUUAUAAGACCAAUUGACAAUAUGUGGAGUAGCUAGGGAUGACAAUUUAACUUGUCAAAUCAAAUCACCGCAAGUAACCAAUCCGAAAGGUUCGGUUUCGAUCAUAAAAUUUCGGGUAUUUUUACGGUUAUGGAUAAUAAUCGGGUAAACUUUUCGGUUUUGAGUUCAGUUAUGGUUAUUGGGGUAUCUGCCCCAAACCCAUACCUGAAACCGAACAAUUUCAUCUAUGAAUAAAAAAAUAUAAAUAUUUAUUAUAUGAAAAUGGGUUGUUAAUAAUCAUUCAUUAUUAAAUAUGAAAUUAAUGAUUUACUUUUAUAUCAUUAAUAAUAAGAAUUAUAUGCUUAUAAUUUUCAAGAGUGUAAAUGUUUUCUUAGUAAUAUAAAAUUUUAAUAUUAUUUAUUAGGUGCAUUGUAUCAAUUGUACUAAUAAUAGUAAUUUAUUUAAUAUCGUUUUUUUUAAUAUUCUUCAUUUAGUUAAUAAUAUAAAUAAAUAUAUAAAUAUCGUAAUAGGGAAAACUGUUAGCCAAUCAAAAAUCCGUCACCAGAAACGUUCGAUUAUGGGGAAAAUUCGUUGGAGAUUCUACGAAUUCAGGUUCGAUAAAAAUAAACGGAUUCGGGUAUGGGGAUGACACAUCUAAACCCAAUCCGCCCCGUUGCCAUCCCUAGGAGUAGUUCAACCUCUUAUAAGUCCUUACAAUGUUUCUCCUUUCACCAAUAUAUGGCCGUUGGACUUCACAUGUGGGUCAACCUACUUUGAUACAAUGUAGAAUUAUCUGAGAAACAAGGCAAAUGCACACACAACAACACCAAUAUUGUUCCUAACUUGAUAAUUAUCAUCUGCAUAGUAUAAUUUUAUCACAAAAAAUCUCAAUAUUAAUUAAAGUUAGAUUAGAAUAUUUAAACUCUUUCCUUCUUUCUUUCUUUAAUUGACGUGGGAUUUCAACAAUGUGGACUCAAACACUUCGACGUGACGCUCAUUUUUGAAGAAAAAAUUUCUAUAAAUAUGCUGUCACGCUUCUAGGAGGUUUCAUAUUCCAAGUCAAUAAUGAUUCUGACAUAUGAUGGGACAUAGUAUGAGUGAGUAUAACAACACUGUAUUUUUUUUUAUAACAAAGAGUAUAACAACACUUUUACAUCAAAAUAUUUUUACUUUGGGCUAACACUUUUACAUCAAAAUAUUUUUACUUUGGGUUGUAUUCCAUUUCUUUACAAAAAAAAAAAAAAGAAGUUACUUUUUCAAGUUUACCAACUUUAUCACCUGAUUUAUAUGGAGACGUCAAACUAAUGAAUCAAAAGAGAUUCUUUCUAGUGCAGAUGAUAGUACUUUAUCACAAUGAUAGAAAGUACCUUUGUUUAUGCUUAAAAAUGUAAUUUCGAUCUCCACCAAUUUUUCCCCUUCUUAACAACUAAUUAUUAACUUAUUAUUGAAUUUUAACGAUAAAGACAAAAUAAAAGGUAAAAUAAAUAGUAUCAAAAUUGAUUUUUUAAUUUAAAAAUAUGAUUUUUUUUAUUAAAGUAAAUAAUACCGUAAGUUUUUCGUUAAAAUUCUUUUUGAUUUUUUGGACAAAGAAAAAAGAAUCUUUUUCCCAUCAUAGGCAUGAAAACUUGACCCUUGUCAAUCACGUUAUGUGGAAAAAAGCUUCUUUGGUAUUCUUCAGAUCAUGUGGCGAGUCCACCAAGGGCCAAAGGUGGUCAGUUGACCCGGUGAUGACCAAAAAAUAGCUUAGGUCAACUACGGUGACAUCUUGAUCAUCUGAUUGGUAACGCUUUAGAGCCCACAAUUUUUUGACGAAAUAAUUGAAUGAGCUCCCUGAAGUUGAUGUUUCUACGUACUAAGCAUGCAACCUUUUCUUUUCUUUUAAAACAAUAUAGUUUUGAACCUGGUCUUUAGUUCUCAUUUUUCUUCAAAUAUUUUAAAGGGAAUCCUAACGAAACACUCUUGGUACUAUUCACUAUUAACGUUAAGGACAUUUUUACUCUAAAAAGUCACUUUUGGUAUUAUUCACUUACAACACAUUUUUAUCCCUUUGAUUAAAACUCAUAAUUUUCAAGUUAUUUUCAUUAGUUUUCCUUAUUUUAAACGAAAAAAAUGAUAACAAUAAACCACACCCACACCCGAUUACUCCCCCACUACCCAACCCCAACCCCGCCACCACAUGCGGCCAUUCGUCUCUCCUAUUUUCAUUCCUCAAAUUUCAAGUAACUUUUAAAUUAUAAUCCCGAAUAUUUUGGUUUAUGAAUAAUUGAAUAUUGAAGUAAACACUUCCUACUCAUUAAUUAUAAAUCAUGAAUCCGCCGCUACUCACAUGUAUAUAUAAAAUUCUAAUCCAUAGAUUGCAAAGAAGUAGGUUGAUAUUGGUGAUGGUAAAGGUCUGUCUAUUCAACAUAUUGGUUCUUCUUCCUUGAAUACCUCUAAUGCUGCCUUUAAAUUGUCAAAUGUUCUUCAUGUUCCCAAAAUAAAACAUAAUCUAUUGUUUGCCUAUCAAUUUGUUAAGGAUAAUUACUGUGCAUUGACUCUUGACUUUGAUGGAUCCAUUGUAAAGGAUCGUUCUACGGGGAAGACUCUUUUGCAGGAUGCAGUUAAGAAUGGUUUUUACUCUUUACAAAGCUCUUCUUCUCCUGGUGUCUCCUCCUCCAGCUCUUCUCAUGCUCUGGUGAGUGUUCAAGCUCCUAUCAAGCUCUAGAACAAUCGACUAGGCCAUCCUUCUUCUUCUAUUUUUCGAAGACUUCUCUCUAUAAAUAAAUUGGCAAUCAAAGGUACAUCAGCUGUGGGUUUCUUUUGCUCUGAGUGUGCUAUAGCAAAGAAUCAUAAGCUCCCAUUUGAAUCUUCCACAUCAUCAACUACUCAUAGCCUAGAAUUGUUACAUUGUGAUUUGUGGGGUCCUGCUCCUGUUACUUCAGUGAGUGGAUUUAGGUACUAUCUUCUGCUAGUUGAUGAUUUCAACAAGUAUAGUUGGACAUUUCCUAUAAAAGUCAAGUCUCAAGUGUAUUCUACUUUUGUACUCUUUAAGAACAAUGUAGAAAACACAACUGGAAAUACAAUCAAAACUGUCUGUUCUAAUUCAGAGGGUGAGUUUACAAGUCUAUCAUUUAAAUCUUAUCUUCAAACUCAUGGCAUUUGUCAUCAAUUAAGUUGUCCACACACACCAGAACAAAAUGGUUGUGUGGAAAGGAGCAUCGCCAUCUAGUUGAGACAGCUAGAACCUUAUUGGUUCAAUCUCAUGUUCCUCAACAAUACUAGGUUGAAGAUUUCACCACUACAUUAUAUCUCAUUAACAGAUUGCCAAUCUCUGGGAUUUCAAAAUCACCUUGGGAGUUAUUCUUUCAUACAGUUCCAGAUUACUCUAGGCUCAAAGUAUUUGGUUGUUUAUGCUUUCCAUAGUUAAAAACUUAUGUGUCUUCCAUGGUUAAAAACUUAUGUGUCCUCCAAACUUGAUGGGAAAAGUAAAAGAUGUAUUUUCUUGGGAUAUAGUCUACAACAUAAAGGUUAUAGAUGUUUGGAUGCAGAAACACAAAGGGUUUAUAUUUCAAGACAUGUAGUUUUUAAUGAGACUACAUUUCCCUUUCAUGAUUCUCAUCACCCUGUGUCUUCUGUUUCUUCUCUUCUAUCUCAUCCUAUUGACCUAGAGUUUUCUUUACCCUCAUGCAUUUCAUCAAAUGUUCCAUCUGGUACUUCAACCUCUUCCUCACAGAGUGUUGAACCUAUUCCCAUUGCUUCAUCAAUGCCUAGUGGCACCACAGAAUCUAAUCAUCUCUUUGUGCAACAAAUUCAAAAUGCCCAUCCUAUGAUCACACAGUCAAAAAAUGGCAUUUAUAAACCAAAGGCAUUCAGUGCAACCAAACAUCAUAUUCCUUCCUCUAUUGAAGUAAUCCCUACCACAUAUCUACAAGCUUUAAAGUCUGCUAAUUGGAGAUUAUCAAUGCAAAAUGAAUUCAAUGCAUUUCAGUCUAUAGGUACUUGGAAUUUUGUCCCUCCUACAUCCUCUAAGAAUGUUGUUGGCUGCAAAUGGGUCUUUAGAAUUAAAAAGAACCCUGAUGGCUCUAUUAAAAGAUACAAAGCCCGGCUUGUUGCCAAAGGCUUUCACCAAAAUGAAGGUUUAGAUUAUACAGAAACCUUCAGCCCUGUAGAUAAGCCUGUCACUAUUAGAAUCCUAUUAACAUUUGCUAUGCAAUUCAACUGGUUUCUUAAUCAGUUAGAUAUUAGCAAUGCUUUCCUUCACGGGGAUUUAAAAGAAUAAGUGUUUAUGGUGCAGCCUCAUGGAUUUCAAGAUCCCUUCUUCCAUAUCAUUUAUGUAAGCUUAAGAAAUCAGUGUAUGGUAUUAAACAGGCCCCUAGGGCCUGGUUUGAAAAGUUGUUUCAGGUUCUCAAAUCUCUUGGUUUUACUCAAUCAUCCUCUUAUGCCUCUCUGUUUGUACUAAAAGUUCCAACUUGGUUAUUGUGCUGGUUUAUGUUGAUGAUAUUCUUAUCGGUGGUCCUAAUGCUUCUCUCUGUCAACAACUUAUUAAAAAGUUGAGUGCUCUAUUUCUAGUCAAAGAUUUAGGACCCUUACACUAUUUUUUGGGCUUCGAAGUUCACAUAACCAAAGAUAGUAUUUUUCUACAUCAAGACAAGUAUUUACUUGAUCUUUUACAAAAGACUAACAUGGAUAGAGCUAAACCCUGUUAUACACCCUCAGUUCUGCAAAGUUGGAUCACAUUGGUGAUUUGUUACCUAAUCCCACUGAAUAUCACUCUCUAGUUUGUGGCCUGCAAUAUCUCAAUUGGACUAGACCUAAUAUUUCUUUUGCUGUCAAUCAUGUGUGUCAAUAUAUGCAUGCACAAACAGUUACACAUAUGCAAGCAACCAAAAGGAUUUUAAGAUUCAUCAAGGGCACUAUCACUCAGGGUCUUUUGUUUAAACAAAGUUCUUUACAUCUUUCUGCCUACUUGGAUGUAGACCAGGCUGGCUGCACCAUUGAUAGACGAUCUACUAGUGGUUUUUGUGUCUUUUUGGGUUCAAACUUGAUUAGUUGGUGUGCAAAGAAACAAACCACAUUGGCUCGUUCAUCCACUGAGGCAGAGUACAUGCCUUUGGCUCAAACUGCAGUAGAGAUUACUUGGAUAUGCAAAGUGUUGAAAGAUUUCUGUUUUCCCAUGACUGCUAAACCCACUAUAUGGUGUGAUAACAUCUUAGCCAUAUCUCUUGUUUCUAAUCCUAUUUUUCAAGCUCAUACUAAGCAUGUUGAAAUAGACUAUCACUAUAUUAGGGAAUUGGUUCUUGCCAACUUGAUUAAAGUCCAGUAUGUGUGUAGUCAGGAUCAGAUUACUGACAUUCAUACCAAGUCCUUGUCUAGAUCCAGAUUUCAGUUUCUACAAUCCAAGCUCUCACUUAGAAUCCUGCCUUCUUCCAAGUCUGGCUUGAGAUGGUGUAAAGAUGAAGAUGACAAGUUAUAUCAACAUAUGGUUAUUAGUUUGUUAUAGUUUGAUUGUAAAGUAUUGUAUUUUAUUUUGUUAGAGGGAGAGAGAGAGAGAGAGUCAGUUUUGGUUAGUUAAAGAGAAAGGAAAUAGUCAAAGGUUAUAUAUUAGUGAUUGUAUUAUUCAUUCGGUUUGUUUGUUGCUUCUGCGUUGUACUUCUGUUGACCCUAAAAACUACCAAGCCUAUGUGGCGCACAAGUCGAGUAAUUAGUAAGCUAACUAUGUCUUUCGGUUGUAUGGGGGGCAUGCCAACUCGUCGGCCGAGCUCGGCCGAGGAGUAAAAUGUGUUGAUGUUGCGUUGAACAUGCGGCUGACUUCUUGAUCUCGCGACUGCGGCCGAGGAAGGAACACAUCUCGUCCUUUAGGUUCUAGAGCUUGAAGACAAAGCUACUAGUUCUGCGAAGUUCACAAAUUAUCGGUGUUGGAUUCGAUCAUGGUGAUUAUAUUCGUGAAAGUAUAAGCAUGCUGAAUCGACACCAAAGUAUAGGGACACAAAUACUCAAAACAAAUGUAUGUCUUGAUUAUGAAAGUGGUUCGGCUGUCAGAAUGCCGAACUCUAAAAUUUACUUGCGAAUAACCAAUCAUAGACGACUCGGGGUUCAAUGUGCCGAGUAUAGUAACUUGUAACACCUCAUUUCGCCGAUAAGGCUAACGAGAUGACAUAUGCCAAUAAGGAUUCGAAAAUCCUCCUCGACCGAGACUUGGAUAGAUAACCAGUCGGUCUUGUCCCAGUGCUAUUUAUCCAAACUGAAUGUGCUCCACGGUCAGCUGAUUCUACGGCAACAGUGUUAUUUAUCCAAACUGAAAAAUGUUCGCCGGUUGCCUUCACAGUGCUGUUUAUCCAAACUGAAGAUGUGUUGGCGAAAAAAGAAAAUAAAAAAUCUCAAGAUGUUUGAGAGGUGUUGAAUUGGAGAGACCCUCCCUAUCUAUAACAGCCAACUUGUAUUGAAUUCCAAUCACUCAAGGAUUAGAACUCUUCUCCUUGAUCCAGCUUUUUCUCGGCCAAUCCUACUCCUAUUAGGACUUUGAACAGAACUCGUUAUCAGGCGAUAUUCAGUUCCAGCAUCCUAAUCCUGUCGAAACUCCUUUUCAUAAUAGGACUCAUCCACAUUCCCAAUCCCCGAUGGGAUAUGGCCAAUUUCGACUGUGCGGCCCAUAAACUAGAAAACCCCCAGUGAUACCUAUACAUGGUCUCUGGGCCGAGAAGGACUCUAAACUCGGCCCAACCAACACUGGGUCGAGAUCAUUCUAAACUCGGCUCAAAACCAUAUUUUUGGGCUUAAACAACUUCUUUCUUGCUCUCCUAGUUAUGCAGAAGUAACCCAAUACAAAAAGUAGCACAAAUGCAUAUAUUGGUACAACAAUGGCAACAAUUGCAGUGGUUGUGAUUUUACUUUUUCCUGCAAAAUAAACAAAAAAAUAUUAAGAAAUGGAUAAAAUCAGCAGCCACAGCACAACACCAUAUUCCCAUGUUCCAAAGUCCACAAUAGCUAUCAAUUACCUAACAAACUAAUUUGAUAAUACAAUUAUCAAUUGAUUGGAGCUUCUAAAAAGGUUAGAAACGUUUUGUGACAGUUCGCUUUUCCAACAACAUUUGGGAGAAAAACUUAAAGUACAUAAUAGAAGCACUUUUCGAAGAAGUACAUGCCUAGAAGCACUUAUUAGAGUUUUAAUGAAAGCAUUUCAAGCAAAAAUGCUUAUAAGCA